AUGCAAAUCUAAAACAUGAUGACUGCCAUAUCACAUCCUCCAGGUUUAUUUUCACUUGACUGAACGACGCAGCACUUGAACCAGGCCGUAAAGUCAUCAGCUAAGAAGGAUGCUCAGGAUGCUCAGGAUGCUCAUGGAUGCUCUACGUAAAAACAUGUGGAUAUGGGUGAUCGUCGGGAUGAUCUUUGUGAGUGUGGUGAUCAGCGUCAUCUUCAUUCUCAUCAACAGGUGCAUAUCAAGAAGAGGUUUGUAGGUGAGGAUGAGGCAUGGGGAGCAGUGGAGGAUAUGAAGGACGGAUAUGAUGAGGUCACGGG